UACGUAGGUGGCAAGCGUUGUCCGGAUUUACUGGGCGUAAAGAGCGCGCAGGCGGUCGUUCAAGUCGCGUGUGAAAAGCCCCCGGCUCAACUGGGGAGGGUCACGCGAUACUGAUCGACUCGAAAGGCAGGAGAGGGAAGUGGAAUUCCCGGUGUAGUGGGUGAAAUGCGUAGAUAUCCGGAGGAACACCGGUGGCGAAGGCGGCUUCCUGGACCGAUACUGACGCUGAGGCGCGAAAGCUAGGGGAGCAAACGGG
rnacentral:rRNA from 1 species